AUCGAACGCUGGCGGCAGGCCUAACACAUGCAAGUCGAGCGAGCGGCGGAAGGGGGAGUAAUGUAUGGGGAAUGCCAGUUAGAGGGGGAUAACUACAGGAAACGGUGGAUAAUACCGCAUACUGUAGGAUAACCCAUAUGGGAUUAGCUAGUAGGUAAGGUAAUGGCUUACCUAGGCGACGAUCCCUAGCUGGUCUGAGAGGAUGAUCAGCCACACUGGGACUGAGACACGGCCCAGACUCCUACGGAGGCAGCAGUGGGGAAUAUUGCACAAUGGGCGCAAGCCUGAUGCAGCCAUGCCGCGUGUAUGAAGAAGGCCCUCGGGUUGUAAAGUACUUUCAGUCGGGAGGCGUUACCGACAGAAGAAGCACCGGCUAACUCCGUGCCAGCAGCCGCGGUAAUAC
rnacentral:rRNA from 1 species